AUUGAACGCUGGCGGCAGGCCUAACACAUGCAAGUCGAGCGGAGCGUCGGACGGGUGAGUACUGCCUAGGAAUCUGCCUGUUAGUGGCGUACAACUUCCGGAAACGGGCCCUUAUACCGCAUACUAUCAGAUCAGCUUCGGUCGGCUUAGCUAGUUGGUGGGGUAAAGGCCUACCAAGGCGACGAUCCGUAACUGGUCUGAGAGGAUGAUCAGUCACACUGGAACUGAGACACGGUCCAGACUCCUACGGGAGGAAGCAGUGGGGAAUAUUGGACAAUGGGCGAAAGCCUGAUCCAGCCAUGCCGCGUGUGUGAAGAAGGUCUUCGGAUUGUAAAGCACUGUAAUUUGGGAGGCGUUACCAACAGAAAAAGCAACGGCUAACUACGUGCCAGCAGCCGCGGUAAUUC
rnacentral:rRNA from 1 species